rnacentral:pre_miRNA from 13 species
UGCCGAGCUGCAUGCUUCUUCUACAUGCCCAUACUAUAUCGUAAAUGGAUAUGGAAUGUAAAGAAGUAUGUAGAACGGAA